rnacentral:rRNA from 1 species
AGAAUGAACGUUGGCGGCGUGGAUUAGGCAUGCAAGUCGUACGGGCCGCAAGGCCAGUGGCGCAAGGGUGAGUAAGGCGACGGUAACCAACCCCAUGAUUGGGUAUAGCCGCGGGAAACUGCGGGUAAUCCCCAGCGACGUCUUCCGGAGGCAUCUCCGGUUGACCAAAGCUCCGGCGUCGUGGGACGGGCUGUCGUGGUAUUAGCUUGUUGGCGGGGUAACGGCCCACCAAGGCUUUGAUGCCUACCGGGCGUGCGAGCGUGGCCCGGCACACUGGGACUGAGACACUGCCCAGACUCCUACGGGAGGCUGCAGUCGAGAAUCUUCGGCAAUGGGCGCAAGCCUGACCGAGCGACGCCGCGUGGAGGACGAAGGCCUUCGGGUUGUAAACUCCUGUCGAGGGGGAAGAAGGGGUAAAACCUUGACUGAUCCCUGGAGGAAGCACGGGCUAAGUUCGCGCCAGCAGCCGC